AGCAUAUCAAUAAGCGGAGGAAAAGAAACUAACAAGGAUUCCCCUAGUAACGGCGAGUGAAGCGGGAAAAGCUCAAAUUUGUAAUCUGGCGCCUUCGGCGUCCGAGUUGUAAUCUCGAGAAGUAUUUUCCGCGCUGGACCGCACAUAAGUCUGUUGGAAUACAGCGUCAUAGUGGUGACAACCCCGUAUAUGGUGCGGAUGCCCAGUGCUUUGUGAUAUACUUUCGAAGAGUCGAGUUGUUUGGGAAUGCAGCUCAAAUUGGGUGGUAAAUUCCAUCUAAAGCUAAAUAUUGGCGAGAGACCGAUAGCGAACAAGUACCGUGAGGGAAAGAUGAAAAGCACUUUGGAAAGAGAGUUAACAGUACGUGAAAUUGUUGGAAGGGAAACGCUUGAAGUCAGACUUGCAUUUUGGAGUUCAGCCGCAAGGUGUACUCUCCGAUUCGCAGGCCAGCAUCAGUUUUCGGGGGUGGAAAAUCGCGGUUUGAAGGUAGCAGUCUCGGCUGUGUUAUAGCUUUCCGCUGGAUUCACUUUUGGGGACUGAGGAACGCAGUACGCUUUUUGCAAGAUUCUAGAGUCUUUCGUACUUAGGAUGCUGGUGGAAUGGCUUUAAACGACCCGUCUUGAAACCACGGACCA
rnacentral:rRNA from 1 species